rnacentral:rRNA from 1 species
GGGUAGUAAAAUUUUUUAAACCUAAAGAAUUUGGCGGUAUCUUAUUCUUACUAGAGGAACCUGCUCUUGGAUCGAUAAUCCACGUUUAAAUGUACAUAUUUUAGUAUAUCAGUCUGUAUACCGCCGUUGUCAGAUUAUUUUUAAAAAAUAUAAUCUAAUUAAUUAUUAAUUGGGACUUCAGGUCAAGGUGCAGCUUAUAAAUAUGGGAGAAGUGGGUUACAAUAAUUUAAAAUUAUACGAAUUAAUUAGUGUAACAUUAGUUAUGAAGGUGGAUUUAGUAGUAAAUUAAAAAUAAAAUUUUUAGUUGAAAUGAGCUCUGAG